GACGAACGCUGGCGGCGUGCUUAACACAUGCAAGUCGAACGGAAAGGCCCCUUUGGGGGUACUCGAGUGGCGAACGGGUGAGUAACACGUGAGUAACCUGCCCUUGACUUCGGGAUAACUUCAGGAAACUGGGGCUAAUACCGGAUAGGAAUCCUUGCUGCCUGGUGGGGGUUGGAAAGCUUCGGCGGUUUUGGAUGGACUCGCGGCUUAUCAGCUUGGUGGUGGGGUAGUGGCUUACCAAGGCUUUGACGGGUAGCCGGCCCGGGAGGGCGACCGGCCACAUUGGGACUGAGAUACGGGCCAGACUCCUACGGGAGGCAGCAGGGGGGAAUAUUGCACAAUGGGCGGAAGCCUGAUGCAGCAACGCCGCGGGCGGGAUGACGGCCUUCGGGUUGGAAACCGCUUUCAGCAGGGGCGAAGCUUGUGGUGACGGUACCUGCAGAAGAAGCACCGGCUAACUACGUG
rnacentral:rRNA from 1 species